UACAGAGGUGGCAAGCGUUGUUCGGAUUUACUGGGCGUAAAGGGCGCGCAGGCGCCAUUCAAGUCAGGCGUGAAAGCCCCGGGCUUAACCUGGGAAUGGCGGUUGAAACUACAGGACUAGAAUCUGGCAGAGGGGGGUGGGAAUUCCACGUGUAGCAGGUGAAAUGCGUUAGAAGAUGUGGAGGAACACCAGUGGCGAAGGCGACUCUUUGGCCUGUAACUG
rnacentral:rRNA from 1 species